rnacentral:rRNA from 1 species
CGACCCCUAAGGCGAGGCCGAAAGGCGUAGUCGAUGGGAAACGGGUUAAUAUUCCCGUACUUGGUGUUACUGCGAAGGGGGGACGGAGAAGGCUAUGUUGGCCGGGCGACGGUUGUCCCGGUUUAAGCGUGUAGGUGUGUGUUCCAGGUAAAUCCGGUUCACUUUAACACUGAGGCGUGACGACGAGGCACUACGGUGCUGAAGCAACAAAUGCCCUGCUUCCAGGAAAAGCCUCUAAGCAUCAGGUAACAUCAAAUCGUACCCCAAACCGACACAGGUGGUCAGGUAGAGAAUACCAAGGCGCUUGAGAGAACUCGGGUGAAGGAACUAGGCAAAAUGGUGCCGUAACUUCGGGAGAAGGCACGCUGACAC